UACGGAGGGUGCAAGCGUUAUCCGGAUUUACUGGGUUUAAAGGGUGCGUAGGUGGGUUGGUAAGUCAGUGGUGAAAUCCCCGAGCUUAACUUGGGAACUGCCAUUGAUACUAUCAGUCUUGAAUACCGUGGAGGUCAGCGGAAUAUGUCAUGUAGCGGUGAAAUGCUUAGAUAUGACAUAGAACACCAAUUGCGAAGGCAGCUGGCUACUCGGAUAUUGACACUGAGGCACGAAAGCGUGGGGAUCAAACAGG
rnacentral:rRNA from 1 species